GGACUACUGGGGUAUCUAAUCCCGUUUGCUCCCCUGGCUUUCGCGCCUCAGCGUCAGAAAAGGUCCAGCACGUCGCUUUCGCCACCGGCGUUCCUUCCGAUAUCUACGCAUUUCACCGCUCCACCGGAAGUUCCACAUGCCCCUACCUCACUCGAGAUGGCCAGUAUCAAAGGCACUUUUCCGGUUGAGCCGAAAGAUUUCACCCCUGACUUGACCACCCGCCUACGCGCCCUUUAAGCCCAGUGAAUCCGAACAACGUUCGCACGGUUCGUCUUACCGCGGCUGCUGGCAC
rnacentral:rRNA from 3 species